rnacentral:misc_RNA from 1 species
UAAAUCCUGAUCCAGAGGUAGGAAGUUUUUUGCUUCAAAAUGGCGGACGAUCCGUAUGCAGGUGUGAGCGCUCAAGAACUUCAGUAUUUGGCUGUGGACAGAAACAAAAUUAAUGACCCUAUGGUACAGGCUGAAUGGGCUUCAAAAAAACUCAUCUGGAUACCCCACGAAAUACAUGGUUUCUGUGCUGCCAGUAUUGCAAGCGACCAUGGGGAUGAGAUAGAAGUAAUGGUAGAAGAAACCGGAAAACGUGUGAGGGUUCACAGAGACGAUUGCCAGAAAAUGAAUCCUCCUAAGUUCAAUAAAGUAGAAGAUAUGGCAGAACUUACAUGUCUUAAUGAAGCUUCUGUUCUUCACAAUUUGAAAGAUCGUUAUUUUUCAGGCUUAAUAUAUACGUACUCUGGUCUUUUUUGUGUGGUAGUUAACCCUUACAAGAGACUCCCCAUCUACACAGAGAAAGUCAUUGAACUUUAUAAAGGCAAAAAAAGACAUGAAGUUCCACCACAUGUAUUUGCUAUCACAGACACAGCAUACAGGAGCAUGCUGCAAGAUAGGGAAGACCAGUCUAUUCUCUGCACUGGAGAGUCUGGAGCUGGAAAGACAGAAAACACAAAAAAAGUCAUCCAGUACUUGGCAUAUGUUGCUGCAUCGUCCAGGUCUAAUCGGUCAUCGGUAUCCAAUCUGCAUGUCACGCAACAUGUAGUUCAGCAGAGCAAAGACAUCAACCUUGGAGAAUUGGAGAAUCAAUUGCUGCAGGCUAAUCCUAUUUUGGAGGCCUUUGGAAAUGCCAAAACCAUCAAGAAUGAUAACUCCUCAAGAUUUGGGAAGUUCAUCAGAAUCAAUUUUGAUUCAUCUGGAUACAUAUCAGGAGCCAACAUAGAGACAUAUCUUUUAGAAAAGUCUAGAUCAGUUAGACAAACAGAACAGGAAAGAAGCUUCCAUAUUUUUUACCAAUUCCUUGUGGGUGCCACAGCAGAGCAAAGAAAGGAGUUCCUCUUGGAUGACAUAAAAAAUUACCGAUUUUUAUCGGGAGGAAAAAUUCCAUUGACUGGGGUAGAUGAUAGUGCAGAAUUUCGAUCUACAUCUGAAGCCAUGGGAAUCAUGGGCAUUGGUCCUGAGGAGCAAUCUGCAAUUUACCGAGUUGUGUCCUCAGUACUUUUAUUUGGAAAUAUGCAAUUCAAGCAGGAAAGUAGGAAUUCAGACCAAGCAUCAAUGCCAGACGACACCGUUGCCCAGAAAGUCUGUCACCUGCUCGGCAUUCCUGUGACUGGGAUUGUUCAAGCCUUCCUUAGACCAAGGAUCAAAGUUGGAAGGGAUUAUGUCACCAAAGCUCAGACCAAAGAGCAGGUUGAAUUUGCUGUGGAAGCCAUAUCAAAAGCUUUGUAUGAAAGAAUGUUUAGAUGGCUGGUAACCAGAAUCAACCGAUCACUUGACAGAACCAAAAGACAAGGUGCAUCAUUUAUUGGAAUCUUGGACAUAGCUGGAUUUGAAAUAUUUAAGAUGAACUCUUUUGAGCAGCUGUGCAUUAACUACACCAAUGAGAAAUUACAACAGCUGUUUAACCACACCAUGUUCAUCCUUGAACAAGAGGAGUAUCAGAGGGAAGGCAUUGAGUGGAAGUUUAUAGACUUUGGAUUAGAUCUUCAGCCUACCAUAGACCUUCUCGAAAAGCCUUUGGGCAUUUUGGCCCUCUUGGAUGAGGAGUGUUGGUUCCCAAAAGCUACAGACAAAACUUUCAUUGACAAAGUGGUAGCACAGCAUUCAACACAUCCAAAAUUCAGGAAACCAGACUUCAGAGCAGAUGCGGAUUUCAGUCUGAUUCAUUAUGCCGGCCAGGUGGAUUAUUCUGCUAGUCAAUGGCUAAUGAAGAAUAUGGAUCCACUGAAUGAAAAUGUGGUUUCAUUGAUGCAAGGUUCAUCAGAUCCAUUUGUAUCAACAAUAUGGAAAGAUGCUGAAAUUGUUGGAAUGGGGGCCACAGCUGGUGGAGACACAAUGUUUGGAUCACGUACUAGAAAGGGAAUGUUUAGAACUGUUGGUCAAUUGUAUAAGGAACAAUUAUCCAAACUGAUGGCAACACUACGCAACACAAACCCCAACUUUGUCAGAUGUAUCAUUCCAAAUCAUGAUAAGAAGGCUGGGAAGAUUGAUUCACCACUUGUCCUGGAGCAGCUGAGAUGCAACGGUGUGUUGGAGGGAAUUAGAAUCUGCAGACAGGGUUUUCCGAACAGAAUUCUUUUCCAAGAGUUCCGCCAGAGAUAUGAAAUUCUCUGUCCAAACUGCAUUCCUAAAGGAUUCAUGGAUGGAAAGAAAGCUGUAGAAAGGAUGAUAGGAGCUUUGGAACUGGAUCCGAACUUGUACCGCAUUGGUCAGAGCAAAAUAUUUUUCCGAGCUGGUGUUCUGGCUCAUCUGGAGGAAGAGAGAGAUCUCAAAUUAACGGAUGUUAUCAUUCAGUUCCAAUCUCUGUGCAGAGGCUUGAUAGCUAGAAGAAAUUACCAAAGGCGUCUACAGCAGCUGAGUGCAAUCAGGGUGAUUCAAAGAAAUUGUGCAGCAUACUUGAAACUCCGCAACUGGGCUUGGUGGAGAUUAUUCACUAAGGUGAAACCUUUAUUGCCUGUAACUGGACAAGAAGAAAAAAUAUCUAUAAAAGAAAAAGAAUUGGAGAAAUACAAGGAGAACUUUGAGAAGCAAAAAGCUGAUUAUGAGGAAAUUGAGCGUAGGUAUGCCCAGAUCAUUGAGGAAAAGUCCAUUCUGGCAGAGCAAGUCCAAGCAAGUGAGGAAGUGGCAGCAGAGGCUGAGGAGGCUAGACGGCGUAUUGCAUCCAAAAAAGAUGAACUCGAGGAUAUUCUCCAUGAAAUGGAGAUAAGAAUUGAAGAAGAGGAAGAAAAAUGCAAUCAAUUGAUUGAUGAUCGCAAGAAAUUCCAACAGACCGUUACAGAUUUAGAAGAUCAAUUGGAAGAAGAGGAACAAUCAAGACAAAAGUUACAGCUAGAAAAAGUCUCAGCAGAGUCUAAAAUUAAGAAAUUAGAGGAAGACUUAGCUGUUCAAGAUGAUACCAAUCAGAAGUUGAACAAAGAAAAGCGUAGUUUGGAGGAACGUUAUAGUGAAGUGCAGAGUCAACUUGUAGAGGAAGAAGAAAAGGCCAAACAACUUGGGAAACUAAAGAACAAAUAUGAGGCCAUCAUUGCUGAUCUUGAAGAGCGGUUAAGAAAAGAAACACAGGCUCGACAAGAAUUGGAAAAAAUAAAAAGGCGUUUGGAAACGGAGAUAAAUGACUUGAGAGAACAGUUGCUGGAAAAACGACAACAAGUGGAGGAACUUCAAGGUGUGCUGUCCAAACGUGAAGAGGAGGUGCAGUUCACUCUCCAGAAAGUGGAAGAGGAAGGAGCUGCUAAGAGUACAUUCCAGAAACAGCUCAGAGAUCUCCAGACACAGAUGCAAGAGUUGCAGGAAGAUUUAGAUGCUGAAAAAGAAGCCAGAAACAAAGCUGAAAAACUGAAAAGGGAUCUGAAUGAGGAACUUGAGGCUUUAAAGACUGAGCUAGAGGAGAACCUUGAUGCCACUGCAGCUGUCCAAGACAUCCGAGCCAAGCGCGAGGAUGAACUCAGAGAACUCAAGCAAGCACUGCAGACCAGUCAGAAACAGUAUGAGACUAAUGCACAUGAUCUCAAACAUAAAUAUCAACAGCAAGCAGAUCAACUUAAUGAAGAUCUGGACAAUGUCAAAAAGAUUAAACAAACCUUGGAGAAAACUAAACAGACCCUAGAGGCAGAGAAUCAAGAUUUAUGCAAUGAUCUAAAAUCUGUUCAAAUGGCUAAAACAGAGUCUGAAAGGAAACGCAAACAAGUUGAGCAGCAGCUGCAGGAGGCUACAAUCAAACUACAGGAAACAGAACGAAGUCGCGCUGACGCAACAGACAAAUCCAACAAGCUUGCUAUUGAAUUGGAAUCUGUCAGUAAACAACUUGAGCAAGCUGAAACAAAAACUAUACAAAACAGCCAGAAGAUCAGCUCCCUAGAGGCUCAGCUGCUAGAUGCACAGGAACUAGCAAAUGAGGAAACAAAAGCUAAAUUGUUAGCUCAGUCUAAACUACGGCAAGCAAGUGACGAUAUUUCUUCACUCAAUGAACGAGUUGAGGAGGAAGAAGAAGCAAAGAGGCAACUUGAAAAACAAAUGUCAGAGUUGCAAGCCAAAAAUGCUGAGCUUAAGAAAAAGACAGAGGAAGAUGCCAACAAUAUGGAGAAUGCAGAAGAGCAGAAAAAGAAACUUGCUCGUGAAGUUGAGGCUCUGACUGUCAGGUUAGAAGAAUCCACAACAUUGGCUGACAAACUGGAGAAGUCCAAAAAAAAGCUACAGGCAGAGGUUGAAGAUUUGACUGUGGAGUUGGAAACCCAGAAAUCUGCUGUUUCUAAUAGUGACAAAAAGCAGAAAAAAUUCGACCAAAUGCUGUCAGAUGAAAAGGCUGUUUCACAGAGACUUGCAAAUGAGAGAGAUAAUGUGGAAAGAGAGGCUCGGGAGAAAGAGACUAAGAUAUUGAAUUUGCAGAGAGAGUUAGAAGAAUUGAAAGAAAUGUAUGAAAAGUCAGAGAAGGGCAGGUUAGCAUCUCAGCGGGAACUGGACGACCUCAUCUCAACCAGUUCAGAUGUUGGAAAGAAUGUGCAUGAAUUGGAGAAGGCCAAGAGGACAUUGGAAAGUCAGGUUGAGGAACAAAGGAAUACAAUUGAGGAGUUGGAAGAUGAGCUGCAGUGUUCUGAAGAUGCUAAGCUGAGAUUAGAAGUUAACAUGCAGGCACUUAAGACUCAGCUAGAGAGAGAGUUGCAGGGCAAAGAGGAGGCAGUGGAGGACCAAAAGAAGCUUCUCCUCAGACAGGUCUGCAUUGUCGUUAUUGUAAAUCUCUACUUGAAAUUUGACUAAAAAUGAAUUUUCAGGAAUAAUUACUCAAUAUUGAUUUAAGCAUCAUUCAUUAAGGAUUUAAGAAAAGUUGAACAGACAGGAGGGCAGGGCAGUGACAUGUUGUUUUACAAAUCAUUUAUAAAUAACAUCUACGCAGCACUGUUAAACUUACUAUGAAAAUAUCAGCGGAUUUAAACGUUUAUUAAACGAUGCAUCUAUUAUUACAAAAUAUUUAUGUAAAGUUAUUUAAUCAGGAUAUAAAUGUGAUAUUAAAUGAAAC